UGAGUAACCUGCCCUUAACUCUGGGAUAAGCCUGGGAAACUGGGUCUAAUACCGGAUAUGACUCCUCAUCGCAUGGUGGGGGGUGGAAAGCUUUUUGUGGUUUUGGAUGGACUCGCGGCCUAUCAGCUUGUUGGUGAAGUAAUGGCUCACCAAGGCGACGACGGGUAGCUGGCCUGAGAGGGUGACCGGCCACACUGGGACUGAGACACGGCCCAGACUCCUACGGGAGGCAG
rnacentral:rRNA from 1 species